UCCUCUCUCAACUCCAAUUGAUUUUCAUUUUAACUUUUGAGAAACAAAGCCUCCAGUUCCCUCCUCUCUCCUUCUCGACGUUCGACUCGGUUCCCGUAUACCAGCUCCCCCUCGUCUUGCACAAACUUUUCCUCUCGAAUCUCCUCAUCCUUCUGAUUUUUUAGAAACAUUUGAAAAACUGGGCUCGAGUUCCCUCCUCUCUCCCGAACUUGUGUUCUCGACGUGGGAAGGUAAAUAAUCGAUAAAUAAUCUGUGAUUCUAGGGCUUGGGCAGAAUUUUUUUUUUCUCUAUUUACUUCAUUCUUUUUCGCUCCCUGUAUUUGCUAGAAAAUAAUCUGUGAUUGUAGUUGCCGAUGUUGCCUCUCAUGACGCGGGAAUGGGCUUGGGCAAAAAUUAAUUUUUUUUUUCUCUAUUUACUUCAUUCUUUUUCGCUCCCUGUAUUUGCUAGAAAGUAAUCUGUGAUUCUAGUUGCCGAUGUUGCCUCUCAUGGCGUGGGAAGGUAAAUAAUUUGUGAUUUUAGGGCUUGGGCAAAAAUAAAUUUUUUUUGUCUCUAUUUACUUCAUUCUUUUUUGCUCCCUGUAUUUGCUAGAAAAUAAUCUAUGAUUCUAGUUGCCGAUGUUGCCUCUCAUGGCAUACAUUUCUCUUUUUUCUCUCUGUGACAAAUAGAGUUGGAUAUUGAUGGAGUUAGUACUUCUGUCUUGUACCUUGAUACAGAGGGAGUUGAGAGCGUUGGGAAGUCUAAUGUAUAUGAUGACCGGAUUUUUGCGCUGGCAAACGUUAUGAGUUCUGUGGUUAUCUAUAACCUUCCUGAGACAGUUAGUUGGUCUGACUUUUACCUUUGCAUUGCUUUCUUAGUUUCUAUUGCUUGGGAAAUCAAAUGUUGAAGUGGCUUAAUGAACCGGGUUUUUUGUGUACUUGAAUACGAAAAGGAAAGAGCUAGGCAGAUAUGUGAAUACUAGAUGUAAGCUUCAAAUUCUGGCUACAUGGCAAUGUGGAAUGAAAAAUUGGUGGAUUUCAGUUGCUUUCUAGGUUUAGUAGGGCUGGUUAAUGUGUAAAAUUUAAGGUUUCUUUUAAGAACUAAAAUCCAGGGAUGGAGGAUGAGAAGAGUUGGAUGACCAUAUCCUGGAAUUUGAAUGUUUACGUAGAGCAGAAAUAUGGUUCUAAUGUGAAUACAAUAAACUAUGUGUUUGAUAUGGGGAGCCUGAAGAAUGGAAGAAGUAUCAUAGAAAAAGGUCUUCUGGUUUGGCAUUUAGCGAUGACUGUAAACAAGAAUCCACGUAAAGAAUUUUUCAGAUGUAUUAUGUCAUCUAAUGUUAAAUUUUUUCGAUCUUUUCAGGAGUUGCAAAUGCUUCAAGAAGAAUUCUAAAUCUCGCUAUCCAGGUUAUAAGUUCAAGCUCCUUCAUCACAUUUUUUUACUCGCUAUUACAGCGCGAGUAUGCCGUUCGGAAACGGGAAGAUAAAGUGAGAGAGCUAGCAAAGAAUCUAAAAAAGCAAAAGCGAAAACUUUUGUAUUUGUACUGGAUUCUGAAAAAUUGUAAUAGUGUUGAUUUGGUUCGGAUAAAUUCUAUAUAAAGUACGGUGUAUGAACUCUUUUGGAUUUUGCAUGGUUCUUUUGAAGUGCACAUGGUUUGUGGACCAAGACCAUGUAUGUAAAUUGUAUGGUGUUAACCUUCACCGUGUAAAGAACUUUUGUGCAAUUAAAUUAUCUUUGUAGACUUCUCUAAGUGUUA